AGUGAACGCUGGCGGCAGGCCUAACACAUGCAAGUCGAACGGCGGCACAGUAAGAGCUUGCUCUUACGGGUGGCGAGUGGCGGACGGGUGAGGAAUACAUCGGAAUCUACUUUUUCGUGGGGGAUAACGUAGGGAAACUUACGCUAAUACCGCAUACGACCUACGGGUGAAAGCAGGGGAUCUUCGGACCUUGCGCGAUUGAAUGAGCCGAUGUCGGAUUAGCUAGUUGGCGGGGUAAAGGCCCACCAAGGCGAGGAUCCGGAGCUGGUCUGAGAGGAUGAUCAGCCACACUGGAACUGAGACACGGUCCAGACUCCUACGGGAGGCAGCAGUGGGGAAUAUUGGACAAUGGGCGCAAGCCUGAUCCAGCCAUACCGCGUGGGUGAAGAAGGCCUUCGGGUUGUAAAGCCCUUUUGUUGGGAAAGAAAAGCAGCAGGUUAAUACCCCGCUGUUCUGACGGUACCCAAAGAAUAAGCACCGGCUAACUUCGUG
rnacentral:rRNA from 1 species